rnacentral:lncRNA from 1 species
GACAAAUACAAAGUUUGAGAAUUAUGAUUAUCUCGAGAGAGUUACAUUAAUUAUGUGUGAUGUAAUAACAUCAAUCUUAUAAAUACUAAUAAUAUUAUUUCAUGGUAAGACUAUAAGGUCAUUCAUUAUUUUAUAUUUCUUACAAUAUUAAGUAUUGUGUUAGCAUGUAUAUGCGUCUAAUUUUUCAUGGAGGUUUUCCCCACGCUUGACUUGUUUCCUCAAUUGUCUUUCUCUUUUCCACCACCUCCCAUCUUUCUACCAAUGAGAAAACCUAUGUUGUUUCCAUCACUUUCCCCCUUUCCUUUCCUUUUUGCAUUUUUGAGAAAUUUUACAAAAUUUCCACUACGACCGCCACCAUCGGGAUAGGUUUUAUCGUUUCCACCGGUGCAAGCGUCACUGCUUUUGACUCCAUCCUUCCAACGCACCCACCAUCCAUAGCAAUUUAGCUCUUCGUCUUCUAUUUCAGCCACUGAAAAAUAACCAAAACUUUUUAUUAAAUAUUUAGAAAAGGAAAAAAAAUGGUGUAUACAUGGCUACUAUUUAUAUAAAAUGGUGUAUACAUGGCUCCUCUUCUUCAUAAGACUCAUUUGCCACAACAGAGAUAAGAAUAAAGGCAGAAAAGCACAAUAAAAUAAUC